rnacentral:rRNA from 1 species
CAAGGUUAACCGAAUAGGGGAGCCGGAGGGAAACCGAGUCUUAACCGGGCGUUAAGUUGCAGGGUAUAGACCCGAAACCCGGUGAUCUAGCCAUGGGCAGGUUGAAGGUUGGGUAACACUAACUGGAGGACCGAACCGACUAAUGUUGAAAAAUUAGCGGAUGACCUGUGGCUGGGGGUGAAAGGCCAAUCAAACCGGGAGAUAGCUGGUUCUCCCCGAAAGCUAUUUAGGUAGCGCCUCGUGAAUUCAUCUCCGGGGGUAGAGCACUGUUUCGGCUAGGGGGCCAUCCCGGCUUACCAACCCGAUGCAAACUGCGAAUACCGGAGAAUGUUAUCACGGGAGACACACGGCGGGUGCUAACGUCCGUCGUGAAGAGGGAAACAACCCAGACCGCCAGCUAAGGUCCCAAAGUCAUGGUUAAGUGGGAAACGAUGUGGGAAGGCCCAGACAGCCAGGAUGUUGGCUUAGAAGCAGCCAUCAUUUAAAGAAAGCGUAAUAGCUCACUGGUCGAGUCGGCCUGCGCGGAAGAUGUAACGGGGCUAAACCAUGCACCGAAGCUGCGGCAGCGACACUGUGUGUUGUUGGGUAGGGGAGCGUUCUGUAAGCCUGUGAAGGUGUGUCGUGAGGCAUGCUGGAGGUAUCAGAAGUGCGAAUGCUGACAUAAGUAACGAUAAAGCGGGUGAAAAGCCCGCUCGCCGGAAGACCAAGGGUUCCUGUCCAACGUUAAUCGGGGCAGGGUGAGUCGACCCCUAAGGCGAGGCCGAAAGGCGUAGUCGAUGGGAAACGGGUUAAUAUUCCCGUACUUGGUGUUACUGCGAAGGGGGGACGGAGAAGGCUAUGUUGGCCGGGCGACGGUUGUCCCGGUUUAAGCGUGUAGGUGUGUGUUCCAGGUAAAUCCGGUUCACUUUAACACUGAGGCGUGACGACGAGGCACUACGGUGCUGAAGCAACAAAUGCCCUGCUUCCAGGAAAAGCCUCUAAGCAUCAGGUAACAUCAAAUCGUACCCCAAACCGACACAGGUGGUCAGGUAGAGAAUACCAAGGCGCUUGAGAGAACUCGGGUGAAGGAACUAGGCAAAAUGGUGCCGUAACUUCGGGAGAAGGCACGCUGACACGUAGGUGAAGUGAUUUACUCAUGGAGCUGAAGUCAGUCGAAGAUACCAGCUGGCUGCAACUGUUUAUUAAAAACACAGCACUGUGCAAACACGAAAGUGGACGUAUACGGUGUGACGCCUGCCCGGUGCCGGAAGGUUAAUUGAUGGGGUCAGCGCAAGCGAAGCUCCUGAUCGAAGCCCCGGUAAACGGCGGCCGUAACUAUAACGGUCCUAAGGUAGCGAAAUUCCUUGUCGGGUAAGUUCCGACCUGCACGAAUGGCGUAAUGAUGGCCAGGCUGUCUCCACCCGAGACUCAGUGAAAUUGAACUCGCUGUGAAGAUGCAGUGUACCCGCGGCAAGACGGAAAGACCCCGUGAACCUUUACUAUAGCUUGACACUGAACAUUGAGCCUUGAUGUGUAGGAUAGGUGGGAGGCUUUGAAGUGUGGACGCCAGUCUGCAUGGAGCCGACCUUGAAAUACCACCCUUUAAUGUUUGAUGUUCUAACGUGGACCCGUUACCCGGGUUGCGGACAGUGUCUGGUGGGUAGUUUGACUGGGGCGGUCUCCUCCUAAAGAGUAACGGAGGAGCACGAAGGUUGGCUAAUCCUGGUCGGACAUCAGGAGGUUAGUGCAAUGGCAUAAGCCAGCUUGACUGCGAGCGUGACGGCGCGAGCAGGUGCGAAAGCAGGUCAUAGUGAUCCGGUGGUUCUGAAUGGAAGGGCCAUCGCUCAACGGAUAAAAGGUACUCCGGGGAUAACAGGCUGAUACCGCCCAAGAGUUCAUAUCGACGGCGGUGUUUGGCACCUCGAUGUCGGCUCAUCACAUCCUGGGGCUGAAGUAGGUCCCAAGGGUAUGGCUGUUCGCCAUUUAAAGUGGUACGCGAGCUGGGUUUAGAACGUCGUGAGACAGUUCGGUCCCUAUCUGCCGUGGGCGCUGGAGAACUGAGGGGGGCUGCUCCUAGUACGAGAGGACCGGAGUGGACGCAUCACUGGUGUUCGGGUUGUCAUGCCAAUGGCACUGCCCGGUAGCUAAAUGCGGAAGAGAUAAGUGCUGAAAGCAUCUAAGCACGAAACUUGCCCCGA